rnacentral:rRNA from 1 species
UUGCCUACGGGGCGCAGCAGUCGGGAAUAUUGCGCAAUGGAGGAAACUCUGACGCAGUGACGCCGCGUGCAGGAAGAAGGUUUUCGGAUUGUAAACUGCUUUAGACAGGGAAGAAACAAGACAGUACCUGUAGAAUAAGCUCCGGCUAACUACGUGCCAGCAGCCGCGGUAAUACGUAGGGAGCAAGCGUUAUCCGGAUUUAUUGGGUGUAAAGGGUGCGUAGACGGGAAGGCAAGUUGGUUGUGAAAUCCCUCGGCUUAACUGAGGAACUGGAACCAAAACUAUCUUUAUU